CGAGUAGCCUCAAGCAUCUUAGAAACCUCUUGUGCAUUCUCAGAAGCUUUAAGGAAAUGAUCAUCAAUCUCCCCUAAAACUUUAAAGAAAUCAGCAUUAUUAUUAUUGUUACCAUAUCCAACAACAUUCCCACCAACUCCCACUACUUCUCCUCUUAUCUCAGGAGGUGCAGUGUUUGAAUGCUUAAACACUCUCUCUGUACUAUCCUCCGCCCUCACCGGGGUCU
rnacentral:lncRNA from 1 species